rnacentral:rRNA from 1 species
CAUGUCUUUUUGAUAAUAAUUUAAAGUCUGAUCUGCUCCAUGAUAUUUUUAAAUAGCUGCAGUAUUUUGACUGUACAAAGGUAGCAUAAUCAAUAGUUUUUUAAUUAAAAGCUGGAAUGAAUGAUUUGAUAAGGUAAAUAUUGUCUCAAAUUUAAUAAAUUUAGAAUUUUUUUCUUUAUAAAAAUAUAAAGUUAAAUUUAAAAGACGAGAAGACCCUAUAGAUUUUUAUAUUAUAAAUUAAAUUAAUUUAAAUUUUAUAAUAAAUUUUAAUUAAAUAAUAUUUGAUUGGGGAAAUUUUUAAAUUAAUUUAAUUUUAAAUAUUUUAAACAAAAAUUAUUGAAUAUUAGAUCUUAUUUUAUAAAUUAUUAGAUUAAAUUACCUUAGGGAUAACAGCGUAAUUUUUUUGGAGAGAUCAUAUUGAUAAAAAAGUUUGCGACCUCGAUGUUGAAUUAAGAUAAAAUUUUAAUGAAGGAGUUAAAAAUUUUUGGUCUGUUCGACCAUUAAAAUCUUACGUGA